rnacentral:rRNA from 1 species
AUGGAGUUGGUGUGUUGGAAUGUGCGUGGCUUGAACAGCCUGGCGAAGAAGAAGGCGCUGCGUGAAUUUGCGGAUUCGACGCACCCAGCUAUGUUUUGUAUUCAGGAGACUAAGCUAGCUUGUAUAGAUACAUAUACGAUUAUGCAAUGCCUUGGCCCGUCGUACGACGGUUUUUUCUACUUACCGGCCUCGGAUACGAGGGGUGGGAUUCUCUUAGCUUGGAACUCGGUGUUGGUUAGCAUUACAAACUGCGUCCGUGACACGCAUUGUGUGACUGGGUAUGUGACCCCGGUCGACGAUACACCCCGGUGGCUCACUACGGUGUACGGACCGCAAGAGUACAAUGACAAGAUGUUGUUCCUAGAGGAGCUCGCAGCGAGAAGGGAUUUGCGCCCGGGUGCCUGGAUGGUGAUUGGGGACUUUAACAUGAUACUCCAAGCCUCAGACAAAAGUAACUCGCACCUGGACAGAAGAAUGAUGCGCAAAUUCCGUCAAUUUGUGGAUGGCAAUGGGCUUAAGGAGCUAUACUUGCAUGGACGUGCCUUUACUUGGAGCAAUGAAAGGGAAGUCCCUACCCUCACUAAAAUAGACAAGGCGCUAGUUUCGGUGGAUUGGGAGAUUGACUAUCCGGACUGCCUGCUCCAAGCGAUGUCAACUUCGGCAUCAGACCACUGCCCUUUGCAUAUUGCCUUGAACGAGAAUCUGCAGCCGCAACGAUGUUUCCAGAUUCGAGGUGUUCUGGACGAGGCUGGAGGGUUUUGA